GAUGAAGAACGUAGCGAAAUGCGAUAAGUAGUGUGAAUUGCAGAAUUCAGUGAAUCAUCGAAUCUUUGAACGCACAUUGCGCCCCUUGGUAUUCCAUGGGGCAUGCCUGUUCGAGCGUCAUUUGUACCUUCAAGCUCUGCUUGGUGUUGGGUGUUUGUCUCGCCUCUGCGUGUAGACUCGCCUCAAAACAAUUGGCAGCCGGCGUAUUGAUUUCGGAGCGCAGUACAUCUCGCGCUUUGCACUCAUAACGACGACGUCCAAAAGUACAUUUUUACACUCUUGACCUCGGAUCAGGCAGGGAUACCCGCUGAACUUAAGCAUAUCAAUAAGCGGAGGA
rnacentral:misc_RNA from 1 species